rnacentral:rRNA from 1 species
GGGGGGGCGAUUCCUCGGCCCCAGAGAGGCGCUUUUUCUUAAAUAAGAAAAAGGGGGGAAAAAAACCCCCCCCCCCCGGGAAGGAGCGGUUUAGGGGUGUUUCCCCCAGCGAUAUAGAGCACGUGCCCUUUGGGGAAAAUAUGAAGCGCUUUUUGGAAAGAGUGUUAAGAGUGUGAAAUAUGUAAAAAGGGGCGCUUUUGAUCUCACCCAUUGUGUGAGAGUCUCCGCGGCGUUUUUGCUUGGUGUAUUUCUCGGUAGCAAGCCAGCAUUGGUUUGGGUCGUCGGAGAAGCGCAUGGGGAAUGUGGCGUUUUCGGAUGUGUUAUAGCCUUAUGCAGGAUACGACGACGUAGAUCAAGGAACGCAGUGUGCUCCCUGGCGGGUUUUCGGACACCUUCA